rnacentral:rRNA from 1 species
GACAGAGGUCCCAAGCGUUAGGCGGAAUCACUGGGCUUAAAGCGUGUGUAGGCGGAUGUCUAAGUACCUUGUGAAAUCCCGCGGCUCAACCGCGGAACUGCUUGGUAUACUGGAUGUCUUGAGCCAUCUAGGGGCUACUGGAACAAAUGGUGGAGCGGUGAAAUGCGUAGAUAUCAUUUGGAACGCCAAUGGUGAAAACAAGUAGCUGGGGAUGUGCUGACGCUGAGACGCGAAAGCGUGGGGAGCAAACAGG